AAGUCGUAACAAGGUUUCCGUAGGUGAACCUGCGGAAGGAUCAUUACAGAGUUCAUGCCCUUUAGGGUAGAUCUCCAUCCUUGCUUAACUUACAACGUUGCUUUGGCAGGCCGCUCGUGAGACCACCGGCCCCGGCUGGUGUGUGCCUGCCAGAGGACCCAACAACUCAAGUAUCUAGCGUCGUCUGAGAAAUAAACAUAAUAUUUAAAA
rnacentral:misc_RNA from 1 species